rnacentral:rRNA from 1 species
UACGAAGGGGGCUAGCGUUGCUCGGAAUCACUGGGCGUAAAGCGCACGUAGGCGGCUUUCUAAGUCAGGGGUGAAAUCCUGGAGCUCAACUCCGGAACUGCCAUUGAAACUGUGAAACUUGAGGAUGAGAGAGGUGAGUGGAAUUCCCAGUGUAGAGGUGAAAUUCGUAGAUAUUGGGAAGAACACCGGUGGCGAAGGCGGCUCACUGGCUCAUUUCUGACGCUCAGGCGCGACAGCGUGGGGAUCAAACAGG